GGAAGUAAAAGUCUUAACAAGGUCUCCGUUGGUGAACCAGCGGAGGGAUCAUUAAAGGAACUCGCAAGACUCCUAACCCACUGUGAACCUACCCGACGUUGCCUCGGCGGGCGCCCGGCCUCGCGCCGGGCACCAAGCCCGCCGGCGGCCCCCUACUCUGUCUCUGCAGCGUUGUGUCUCCGAGUAUACCAAAACAAGUCAAAACUUUCAACAACGGAUCUCUUGGCUCUA
rnacentral:misc_RNA from 1 species